AGAGUUUGAUCCUGGCUCAGGACGAACGCUGGCGGCGUGCUUAACACAUGCAAGUCGAGCGGAAAGGCCCUUCGGGGUACUCGAGCGGCGAACGGGUGAGUAACACGUGAGCAACCUGCCCCUGGCUCUGGGAUAGCUCCCGGAAACGGGGAUUAAUACCGGAUGUGACCUGCUGCUGCAUGGUGGCGGGUGGAAAGUUUUUCGGCCAGGGUGGGGCUCGCGGCCUAUCAGCUUGUUGGGGGGGUGACGGCCCACCAAGGCGACGACGGGUAGCCGGCCUGAGAGGGCGACCGGCCACACUGGGACUGAGACACGGCCCAGACUCCUACGGGAGGCAGCAGUGGGGAAUAUUGCGCAAUGGGCGGAAGCCUGACGCAGCGACGCCGCGUGCGGGAUGAAGGCCUUCGGGUUGUAAACCGCUUUCACCGCAGGCGAAGCCGUGAGGUGACGGUAUGCGGGGAAGAAGCGCCGGCUAACUACGUGCCAGCAGCCGCGGUAAUACGUAGGGCGCGAGCGUUGUCCGGAAUUAUUGGGCGUAAAGAGCUCGUAGGCGGCUUGUUGCGUCUGCUGUGAAAUCCCGGGGCUUAACCCCGGGCGUGCAGUGGAUACGGGCAGGCUGGAGGCAGGCAGGGGAGAAUGGAAUUCCCGAUGUAGCGGUGAAAUGCGCAGAUAUCGGGAGGAACACCGGUGGCGAAGGCGGUUCUCUGGGCCUGUUCUGACGCUGAGGAGCGAAAGCGUGGGGAGCGAACAGGAUUAGAUACCCCCGUAGUCC
rnacentral:rRNA from 1 species